rfam:Mycoplasma sp. CAG:472 genomic scaffold, scf13
GGGGUAGAUUGGUUUCGACAUAUGUUAAUAGAUAUGAUUGCAAGUAGUUGGCAAACUAUAAAUGCACAAAAAAAAUAAAUGACGAAACUUCUUAUAGUUUCACUCCUGCAUUUGCCUAAUUAGAGGUUUGGGAGUACUCACUUACCUUCUUGCUUAUUGAAAGUAAAAUGGGUUCAUAUUAAUAAGCUAUAUUUAUUAUAUUUUUUGAGUAUAGUAAAUGAAUAUUAAUCAAAAUUACUAUUUAUGAGGUUCGUUUUAGCCAUAUAGAUAGGAAAUUUAAAUAGAACUAAACUUGUAGAUAUUGUAUAAUAUGACAUAUUGGACAGGAGUUCAAUUCUCCUCUACUCCACCA